UACGUAGGGGGCGAGCGUUGUCCGGAUUCAUUGGGCGUAAAGAGCUCGUAGGCGGCUGAUCAAGUCGGGUGUGAAACCCUCCGGCUUAACCGGGGGCGUGCAUCUGAUACUGGUCUGGCUGGAGUCCGGUAGGGGACCAUGGAAUUCCUGGUGUAGCGGUGAAAUGCGCAGAUAUCAGGAGGAACACCGAUGGCGAAGGCAGUGGUCUGGGCCGGUACUGACGCUGAGGAGCGAAAGCGUGGGGAGCGAACAGG
rnacentral:rRNA from 1 species